GAAGAGUUGGGACAAAGCCAAGUCAUAAUUGUCAUGCAGUGACAUCUGCAGAGACUAUAAAUAGGAGGCGGGACUUCCUGGUUUUUUGUCUUGGACAAAGCAAUGAAUUUGGCGCGAGCUAAUUCAUGGAGGGAAGAAUAUAUUCAAAGGCUGCUAAGAAAGAAAUGACGUGUUAACCCAAAGGGGACCUGGCGUAAAUCACUGCAUGUGGAGAGAACAGCUGUUUUGGGGAAGGCAUCUGAGUGCCUUGAAAUGUCUCAAAAGAGUCUGCCAAAGGCUGGGCUGGGCCCAGAAGAUUCACACUAUCUUAAAGUUGCACCAAGAAGAAUGUUUGCAAUGGAGCAAGAUCUGGUGUUUCAUGGACCCUUCAUCCUCCUCCUCUCCACAAUCUCCAUUUCUUCUAGCACUGAUGAUGUUACUUACUUUGGUAAUGAAACAUCUGCAAGAAACAGCCAAGCUUAGAGAGCACCAAGGACCUCACAGUCCUCCCUUUUGUCCUCCCCCUUCCUCCUCCAACAGCAGCAGGAAAUGUUUUAGGGAAUUCCUCCAAUUGUCAGCAAAUUAUUUAUGCUCAAGGUUAUCUAGUCUGGUUUGUGUUGUAGGGCUUCUCAGGUAGUGGCACCCCAUGUAGGUAACCAUUUUCCAUAAGAAACAUGAAAGAAAGCCUCGUGUAUGGUGUUUUUUGAGAUGAAACCCUGCUUGCUUAUCCUGUCAUUUGAAGAAGAAUGGCAGCUACAGGACCAAGUUGCCUUCUAAAACAUAAUAAUAUUGCAGUGGUUGCAUUAGUUAUUAUAGUGCUUUGUUUAAAGAAACAGGGUUUUUUUUGGGGGGGGGUCUUAACUUCAUUAGAUGGACGAGCAAUGCAAAAUAUACGUAGAUAGAGCCAUCAAAAUGCAGAAUAGUUACACAACACAGUAGUAUCAUUUUAGGAUUGUUCUGUUUAUUUUAGAGGAAAGUUUCAAGCCUUAUUGUUGCCUGACAGCAUCAACACCUGGCAAAUUUCCAGAAACAGCUGAAUAAGACUUGGUUUCCCCCCACCCUUCUUAAAGAGUAGCACCCGGAGGGAAGCAUAAGGCUUUUUUCUAAAAAUAGGAAGUCAAUUGUACAAAGUAAAUCCAGAAAAAACAAUUAACUUGUGUAUUUCUUGCAAGUUGCAAAAUGCCACUUUGUUAUGGGAAAGGAAUUUGAGUAGAAAAAUGUAGAAUGGCCUUGGGUAUGUUGCAUUCUUCUCUUCUUUGCAGAUGAACAGAAUAAAGGUGAGAAAAAAAGUUGAAUCCCCCUUGAUUUCUGCUGGCAACAUAGAUAUGGCCGGUUGCUGUCCUUAGCAACUAUUAGCAUUUCCAUCAGUAAUUUUUAAAAUACUUUCUCAUGUAAGCCAUUGACUAAGAUUGCCUAGUGGUCUCUCAUCCAAAUCCAACCAUGCCUAACUCUACAGGUAGUCCUCAAUGUAUGACCACAAUUGAGCUCCAAAAUAUCUGUUGCUAAGCAUGAGUUUUUCCCCAUGUUACAACCUUUCUUGCCACCGUUGUUAAGCGAAUCAAUGCAGUUAUUCAGUUAGGAACACAGUUGUUAAAUGAAUCUGGCUUCCCAAUGUAAUCAGGACUUGGAAUAUGGAAUGGAGGAGAUAACAAAAGUGGAUAAAUAUGAAGAUAGGAUCCUGAAUAAACAAGUUGAUGUAAAGAAGCCUUUUUAAAAAAGUUUGGAUGAAAUGCCUGAAUUUGUG